rnacentral:rRNA from 1 species
AAAACUUUCAACAACGGAUCUCUUGGUUCUGGCAACGAUGAAGAACGCAGCAAAAUGCGAUAACUAAUGUGAAUUGCAGAUUUCAGUGAAUCAUCGAGUUUUUGAACGCACAUUGCGCCCUCUGGUAUUCCGGAGGGCAUGCCUGUUCGAGCGUCAU